rnacentral:rRNA from 1 species
AGCUCCAAUAGCGUAUACUAAAGUUGUUGCAGUUAAAAGCUCGUAGUUGGAUUUCUGUUUUGGAAAGAGGUCCAUCCCAAACGGGUUGCGUACUCUCGGUUCCGGAACAUCCUCGAAGUGCACGUGUCUGCCAUUAAGUUGGUGGGCUCGGACCUUCGUCAUUUACUGUGAGCAAAAAUAGAGUGUUCAAAGCAGGCUUAGGCCAUGAAUAUAUUAGCAUGGAAUAAUAAGAUAGGACCUUGGUCUAUUUUGUUGGUUUACAUUCCAAGGUAAUGAUUAAUAGGGAUAGUUGGGGUUAUUCGUAUUCAAUUGUCAGAGGUGAAAUUCUUGGAUUUAUGGAAGACGAACUACUGCGAAAGCAUUAACAAGGAUGUUUUCA